AUGUUAGAACUUUACUCGCUCUGAUAUCAUUAGUUGCUUGUUAUUUCACUUCUCUUAUUUGUUCCAUCUCUUGCUUUUACUUCCGCUUUUCUUGUAGACGCCUUAUAUGUGUAGACAUAUGGCGGGUCUGGGCACGCUACCGGGAGGGCCUCCGCCGGUCCCGGGGCGUGACAAAUUGAGACAUAAAAGGUAAUGAAAUUGCCAUGUAGGGGCACCGGACUAGAACAUUAUGUGAAUUAGAGAGCUAAUGUCAUCAAGCGGCAUUGAGCUCGGGACAUGUGUGAACCUAGUGAAUAGGGCGAUUGAGGAACGUGGAACAUGCUUAAAUAUUGAAUGUCUAAGUGUCAUAAAGGGGCACUAGACCUAGAGAACAUUGGAACUUCACUUUGUGACAUAGAACUAGAUCUUCGAGAUGCUAGUGACUAUACCAUGUUAGAGACAUGAGGAUUGGAUACUUGAGACUUGGACUACGCUUGCUUGCCAUUUGUGCUCAUUCGCACAUGCUUGUGAGGGUCGCUCCCUACAAGCCGGCACUCCGGAGUUAGCCUACGCGACUUAUGUUCGCUCGUGCGGUAUUGAGAAGCCUACGGGGUCGAGUGGGACAGACACAUUCCAAGAGUAGGGAUGUUGGGCUACCACAGGCACUUAGGCGGCACAAGCUGGACUACCUUUGGUAGGUCCUUAAUUGAAAAUGAAAAUCGACACAGUGUUGAGAAUGAAUAAUCACUACUAGAUAGGCUUAGUAGUUGGAUUACUUGACAUGCUCACAACAUAGCAUUGGGAUAUAUAGUAUAUUUGCCUGUUUCAUUCAUUGCAUCAUAGUAUACUGGGUUGCUUUGAUAGAGCUUACUCCUUAUGCAUUGACAUAUUGCAUCGUGAGUUUUACUUGUUUAUUAUGUUAAGGCAUAUUAGUAUGCAUUGGACAUAUUAUCUUAUGAUAGCGUAGAUGUACAUCACCACGACAUCAUGCUUACUUGAGACAUAGUAGUAUAGCAUUUCAUUUAUGCUUUCUUUCAGCAGUUAUUAUACUCGCUCUUUAUUGUUUAUUAUUAUUGUCGUUACUUACCCCUUUCUUUUGGGGCCUAGUGGUGCAUUGAGCUGAGGUCAGUAAUUGCCCACUGGGAACUAUAAAUUAUAGUUCUCACGCCCUCUGUUU
rnacentral:lncRNA from 1 species